rnacentral:rRNA from 1 species
UACGUAGGGGCCUAGCGUUGUCCGGAAUUAUUGGGCGUAAAGAGCGCGCAGGCGGUCGUUCAAGUCGCGUGUGAAAGCCCCCGGCUCAACUGGGGAGGGUCACGCGAUACUGAUCGACUCGAAGGCAGGAGAGGGUAGUGGAAUUCCCGGUGUAGUGGUGAAAUGCGUAGAUAUCGGGAGGAACACCAGUGGCGAAGGCGACUACCUGGCCUGUUCUUGACGCUGAGGCGCGAAAGCUAGGGGAGCAAACGGG